rnacentral:rRNA from 1 species
CCUACGGGUGGCAGCAGUGAGGAAUAUUGGUCAAUGGGCGUAAGCCUGAACCAGCAAAGUCGCGUGAGGGAUGAAGGUUCUAUGGAUCGUAAACCUCUUUUAUAAGGGAAUAAAGUGCGGGACGUGUCCCGUUUUGUAUGUACCUUAUGAAUAAGGAUCGGCUAACUACGUGCCAUCAGCCGCGGUAAUACGGAGGAUCCGAGCGUUAUACGGAUUUAUUGGGUUUAAAGGGUGCGUAGGCGGCGUUUUAAGUCAGCGGUGAAAGUCUGUGGCUCAACCAUAGAAUUGCGGUUGAAACUGGAAGGCUUGAGUAGGUUUGAGGCAGGCGGAAUUCGUGGUGUAGCGGGGAAAUGCUUAGAUAUCACGCAGAACACCGAUUGCGAAGGCAGCCUGCGAAGCCAUGACUGACGCUGAUGCACGAAAGCGUGGGUAUCAAACAGGAUUAGAUACCCUAGUAGUC